rnacentral:lncRNA from 1 species
UUUACCCGCAAGAGCUUCACGCGGAUCGGUAGCACUGGACAUAUUGACAGGCCUUUUUUGUCUGUUUAUUUGCUGCAUCUCGUACAUAUCAUUUCUGUGCAGCCAAUCAGAAUCUUCGCUCGUAUUGAUAUUCACAUUUGUCUGCGAGGUACAUCCAUGGGCAGGCUCCCCUACGGGUAUAACACAGAUGAUCUUUAAUCACCAUCAUGUUACAAUCUGUGAAAUAAUAUUAUGUGACAUGUACCUGGGGACAUAUCAGAGUUGAAGUUUGAUGCUGCAACUUUGCUCCUCAUUUUGCUGUAGUCGCGUUUCUUCUGCAAGAGAGAAGACAUUUGUUCGGGACUCAUUGAAUUGUAUCGGACUCUCUCACGCAACCUUUUUUUCUGCUGCACUUUGCUUGAGAGACGAUGGAACUAAAAGGC